rnacentral:rRNA from 1 species
UACGGGGGGGGUAAGCGUUGUUCGGAAUUACUGGGCGUAAAGGGCUCGUAGGCGGCCAACUAAGUCAUACGUGAAAUCCCUCAGCUUAACUGGGGAACUGCGUGUGAUACUGGAUGGCUUGGAUUUGGGAGAGGGAUGCGGAAUUCCAGGUGUAGCGGUGAAAUGCGUAGAGAUCGGGAGGAACACCGGCGGCGAAGGCGGCUGCCUGGACCAGUCCUGACGCUGAGGCGCGAAAGCUAGGGGAGCAAACAGG